rnacentral:lncRNA from 1 species
CGUCAGAGAAGCUUGGCCAUAGUAGAGUUCUCUACCCGUGGCAUGGUAUUGACACCCUUCUAAUCAAAGCAAAGAUUGGACCCCACCAGUACAGUAUCGGGGCAUGUCAGUUAGGUUACUACCUCCCAUAGUCACAGUUACAGUUACAGUUACAGUUUUAGUGUCAGUCUUCAGAGUAGAAAUCAGGAAUAUAGACUGUCAAAUACAGUCAUCGAUCUCAG